rnacentral:rRNA from 1 species
UACGUAGGGUGCAGGCGUUAAUCGGAAUUACUGGGCGUAAAGCGUGCGCAGGCGGUCUUUUAAGUCAGAUGUGAAAUCCCCGGGCUUAACCUGGGAACUGCGUUUGAAACUGGAAGGCUUGAGUGUGGCAGAGGGGGGUGGAAUUCCACGUGUAGCAGUGAAAUGCGUAGAUAUGAUGGAGGAACACCGAUGGCGAAGGCAGCCCCCUGGGCUAACACUGACGCCUCAUGCACGAAAGCGUGGGGAGCAAACAGG